rnacentral:rRNA from 1 species
GACGUAGGAGGCGAGCGUUGUCCGGAGUUACUGGGCGUAAAGCGUGCGUAGGCGGUUCGUUAAGUCCGUUGUGAAAGCCCUGGGCUCAACCUGGGAAUGGCAGUGGAUACUGGCGAGCUAGAGUGUGAUAGAGGAUGGUGGAAUUCCCGGUGUAGCGGUGAAAUGCGUAGAGAUCGGGAGGAACACCAGUGGCGAAGGCGGCCAUCUGGAUCAACACUGACGCUGAGGCACGAAAGCGUGGGGAGCAAACAGG